GUGGGAGUAGUGUAAUGGUAGCACAACAGUUUGUGGCACUGUUAGAUUGGUUUCAAAUACCAACUCUCACA
rnacentral:tRNA from 3 species